UACGUAGGGACCGAGCGUUGUCCGGAUUCAUUGGGCGUAAAGAGCUCGUAGGCGGCUGUUCAAGUCGAACGUGAAAACUCGGAGCUCAACUCCGAGCCUGCGUUCGAUACUGGACGGCUAGAGUCUGGUAGGGGGAUCUGGAAUUCCUGGUGUAGCGGUGGAAUGCGCAGAUAUCAGGAGGAACACCAAUGGCGAAGGCAGCUCGCUGGAACGGUACUGACGCUGAGGCGCGAAAGCGUGGGGAGCGAACAGG
rnacentral:rRNA from 1 species